rnacentral:rRNA from 1 species
UACGUAGGGCGCAAGCGUUGUCCGGAAUUAUUGGGCGUAAAGAGCUCGUAAGGCGGUCUGUCGCGUCCGUUGUGAAAACUCGAGGCUCAAACCUCGGGCUUGCAGUGGAUACGGGCAGACUAGAGUACUGCAGGGGAGACUGGAAUUCCUGGUGUAGCGGUGGAAGUGCGCAGAUAUCAGGAGGAACACCGGUGGCGAAGGCGGGUCUCUGGGCCGAUACUGACGCUGGAGACGCGAAAGCGUGGGGAGCAAACAGG